rnacentral:rRNA from 1 species
GACGAACCGUGCUAACGUUGUUCGGAAUCACUGGGCUUAAAGGGCGCGUAGGCGGGCCAGCAAGUCAGGGGUGAAAUCCCACGGCUCAACCGUGGAAGGGCCUUUGAUACUGUCGGCCUCGAGGGAGGUAGGGCGUGCGGAACUUCCGGUGGAGCGGUGAAAUGCGUAGAUAUCGGAAGGAACAUCGGUGGCGAAAGCGGCGCGCUGGACCUCUUCUGACGCUGAGGCGCGCAAAGCC